UAGGAGGUCUGGGAUGGGGGCCAAGAAUGUGCAUCUCUAACAAGUUCCAACAUGAUGCGGAUGCUGCUAGUCCAGGGACCACACAAUGAGAAUUAUUCAUCUAGACCAGAGAGACACUGAAAGCCUGCCCAGGCUUGCCUGCUAAACUCACCACUUCCGUGUCCCUAAACUCAGGUCACAUGGACCUAAACACCCUGGGUUGUUUCGCACCUCAGAGCCUUUGCCAUUUGCUGUGCCUGCCUCUCUGGAAGCUCUUUCCUUCUUUAUCUCCUAGGCCUGCUAAACCAUCAUUUCCUCCUGGGAGCAUCUCUGUACUCGCGCAUCCUCACCACACUGACUUCUUCCUCUGGGCCCUGACACCUUGCCCCCUGCCUCCAUCACAGCAGGUGGCUGCGCUGGAGCGGCAGAUCUUUGACUUCCUGGGCUACCAGUGGGCUCCCAUCCUAGCCAACUUCCUGCACAUCAUGGCAGUCAUCCUGGGCAUCUUUGGCACCGUGCAGUACCGAUCCCGGUACCUCAUCCUGUAUGCAGCCUGGCUGGUGCUCUGGGUUGGCUGGAAUGCGUUUAUCAUCUGCUUCUACUUGGAGGUUGGACAGCUGUCCCAGGCUCCUUUGCCCCCAGGACCGGGACUUCAUCAUGACCUUCAACACAUCCCUGCACCGCUCCUGGUGGAUGGAGAAUGGACCAGGCUGCCUGGUGACACCUGUUCUGAACUCCCGCCUGGCUCUGGAGGACCACCAUGUCAUCUCUGUCACUGGCUGCUUGCUUGACUAUCCCUACAUUGAAGCCCUCAGCAGCGCCCUGCAGAUCUUCCUGGCACUGUUCGGCUUCGUGUUCGCCUGCUACGUGAGCAAAGUGUUCCUGGAGGAGGAGGACAGCUUUGACUUCAUCGGCGGCUUUGACUCCUACGGAUACCAGGCGCCCCAGAAGACGUCGCAUUUACAGCUGCAGCCUCUGUACACGUCGGGGUAGCCUCUGCCCCGCGCCCACCUCGGCGCCUCGCCUUGGGCCCCUGGACUGACCGCAGCUGCCUUGGGCUCAGGCCAAGGCGCAGGCGCGCCCCCUGGUGGCCCGCGCGCUCACUGCAGCCUGCGCCCGCCCCCGGGUCUGCAGCCGGAGACGCGGAUUUGGACUUGGACUUGGACUUGGCCUUGGCUCUUCGCAGCCCGGACUUCGGAGGAGUGGGGCGGGGCGGGGGAGGGGCACCGCGGGUUUUUUGUUUGUUUAUUUGUUUUUAAUCUCAGCCUUGGCGUGAGCUGGGGCCUUCCUCUCUUCUCCAGCCUCUCUUUCACCCUUCACCCAGCAUCCUGCCCCCCUGUCCAAAAACAGCAGGACAUCACACCCAUCCCAUCCCACCACACUCACUCACCAGCUCUGGGGAAAGCUAUUCUGAACUAGGAGCAGGAGUCCUGGGUUCUAAUCGCAGGUCCAACACUGACUGUGAUGUCUGGCUAAGCCCUUGCCCUCUCUGGGCCUCGGUUUCCCCUCCUCAAGUGAUUAAUUCCUUAGCAAAUGGACUCUUUUAGACUUCUCAUUUAACUCAAUUCCCUGAGCUAGACUGGGAUUAAAAUUCCCAUUUUGCAGUACAUUAAAACUGAGGCCCAGAGAUGCAAUUUGCUUGAGGCCACACAGCUAGAUUUUUGGUGGAAGUGGGCCUUGAACACAGUGUACUUUCUGCAGUUUCUGACUGUAAAACCCACGUCUGCUCUCUGAGUUCAAUUUCAAGCCCCCCUCCAGCUUGGACCCAUGUGGUCUCCACCAUAUUCACACACCACCGCCACCACUUGCCAAUGCCUCUCUUAAAGCAAUAUACCCAUUCGUUCUCUUAUUGGGAACGGGAUGGACAGAGCCCUAAAUUCAGCCCCACCCACAGAGAAGCCUUCCUACGCUCAGCCUCUGUCCACCCUUGGCAAAUCUUUCAAGCUCUCUCCUCCAGGAAAGUGGGGCCCCAACUCAGUCACCCCACCCCCUUCCAGGUCCCUGAGGCUGGUUCUACUGUAUCCCCAUCCCCUCCACAACUCCACUCACCCCUGAUGGCUCCAUCCACCUCACCAGUUGGAAGGCUUGUGGUUCCAGAGGGGAGCAAUGCUGGUCAGCGCUGCCCAGACUCCAGUGUUUACAGAUCACCAGCGUUUACAACCAAUUCAAUGGCCAGAAGCCUCCUCUAACAAGCCCACAAGGAGUUCUGAAGGGGCAGAUGGGGGUGUGAGUAGUGGGGGAGUCAGGAUUGCCAGCACCCUCACCCUUCCUUGGGGGCAAGUAGAGGCGAGAACACUUUCCCCACCUCCCUCCACAGACACUCCUGAGGACCCUGCAUCCCACACACUGCCUGGUGUGUCCAUAGAUGAGAGGAUCAGGCCUCAGCAUUUCAUCUGUGAAAGAGGUGUGGCCCUGGGUUAGAAAGGAGGGCAGGAGGCAUGGAGGAACUGGGGGGACACCCAGAUGGUGCGUAUGGUUUGCACACCUGAGCCUGUCUGGUGACCACUUCGCUCCUCGCCCACUACCCUCCAAUCUAUCAUUCCCUACUCUCUACGGCCAAAAUAUCCUGAGCAAGGCUGACAACCCCACCCCACCAUCCCAACUGCAAGCAGCCAGCCCCAGGAGUUCCUCUGGCCCCCACAGGCAUGGAGCUCCUAGCUGCUGGGUACAGCUCAAGAGGGGGGCAGCUCCCUCAGGCUAAGCUGCUGCCGUUCACUGGGCCAGCCCUGCUUCCAGCCCCCACUUCUCUCAACCCCACUCUCCCAGGCCCCUUUCUACUCAACGGGUGCAGCCACUGGUGCUUUGAAGCCUUUUGUUUUUAUAAGAUGGUUUUUGCAAGGGGACCAGGUUCUCUUUUCACUGGGACCUUGCAAGGAGGGGAGUGCUCUCCUGGUUUCUGUGCAGGUGGGUUGAUUAAAGAUGGUGUUUUCUUCUCUA